UGACCGCCCUGUAAAUAGGGUGUAAGGUCUUCUCCCUCUCCCUCUUAAGCCCGUGGAGCCUUUCCGUGCCUGUGGCUGAGGGACCCCCUUUUAAGAAGGGUUGAGCGUCUCUUUUCUCUUUGUCCUCGUAAACUGCCCUAGAAAUGAUUUCGACUUGGCUUUUUUGAAAUUUGCAGUCAAAUCCUAUUUGUGACCGCUUGAAUUGAAGCCGGGGUCCGAUGAAACAUGGUGUGGCGAAGGGGCGGCUGUAAGGGGAUGGUGGAGGCCGUGAUAAAUUCGACCCUUUUUUGAAAAAAGCCAAGAAACCCCCCAAAACAAUCCAAAUCUUUCCAGGUCUGGAAAUGAACAGGUGAGGUGCGGGGCUCCUUUCAGCUCCUCACUUCCACGUAAUCCUUCCUCAUCUCCUCUUGCCUUGCCCAAUUGACACUGUCCCACCAACCUCAGCUUUGACCCUCUGUUUCCUGCGCAGAAUAAAACAUACUGCUGGCUGUAGUAGUGUUCCUUGUCUUGAUUGGGAAAGGUCCCUACGUGGUGUCCCAAUUCCAGGCCUUUGGUCUCUUUGCUGGUAGAGUGAGGCUAUAUUUUUGGACUGUCUUUGAGGUGAUUGAAAGAGCUGUCCUUCCUGACAGCUCUUUGGUGAUCUGGUGGCAUAGGUACACGUGUCGUGGUGUUAGAUCUUGCACGUGGGUGCACCUAACCCUACUAACAGGACUGAGUAAGAAGUAAGGGAUGUCUGUUUUGGAAAAGGGCAGGGGGUUCAAAGUUGGAAUGUUCUUGGUGGGGUAGACAGGUAAGUCGGGAAGGGUGUUGGUGUGGGAUGGAGGAUUCCUUGGUCAUGGGAGGUUCCCUUACCUGUUCAUUUCCAGACCUUUUCACGUCUGUGACUCCUUUCCCCUUCUUUCAAGGAAGUAGGAUUUUUGUGAAGGAAGGGUGACCGCCCUGUAAUCGGGGUUCGGGUCGCUUUCCUUUCCCCCUCUUGGCAUUGGCCCUCUUCAUGCCAAAGUGAGCUCCCUGUAACUAGGGUGUGCAACUUUCCCAAGCUUACUCGCCCAUUUGAAAGCUAGUUAUAGAAAGCAGCCUCUUUGGAGAGUUAGGGGUUUGUCCUUCUAGCUCUCCUGUCGCCGUGCCCUACUCACACGCACAACCAAGUCCAAACCGAGCGAACUCUGCAUCCCGCUGGCCCUGACUGCUGCUGCUGCUGCAAGGUUUCCUGCUCUACGCCACAGCAACUCAGAAGAGAAAACGGAGAAGAGGACAGAAGUACCAAAGAAACGGCAGGAAAAGACAAUGGAAGCAGAAGCCACAGAAAAGGGACACACACCUUGCAUGCAUGGGCCUCCCUGCAAUGAGGACACGGGAUUUCCACUUAAGCUUCAUUCCCCCUUGAGGUGCCAGGUAAAAGGACCUCCCUGUAAACGGGGAUCAAGGUCCACCCCUUCCCAGCAAAAAGGCUUGAGGUGUCCGUUUGGUAGCUAAGGCUGAGGGACCCCCCUUUAAGAAGGGUAGCGGUCUCUCUGUGCCUUUCAGCUCUUUAGGAGCUAGGCUUUGAAAUGCCCUGUGCCGUUGACCUCUCCCUGUAAGAAGGGUUCAGGUCUCCCCUUUCUAGACUGUUCUGGGCCGCUGGCACUUGCUGGGCAAAGAGACCACCCUCUCCUGAGGGAAUGGAGGUCUCUCCUUUUCACCGCUUUAGCCUCUGGCCCGUUGUAAUGCCCCUGGCUUGAGGACCACCCUGUAAGGAGGGUUUGGGUCUCCUUUGCCAUGCUGCUUUCGCCACAGGUCACUUGGACAUGCCAGGCAAAAUGACCGCCCUGUAAAUAGGGUGUAAGGUCUUCUCCCUCUCCCUCUUAAGCCCGUGGGGCCUUUCCGUGCCUGUGGCUGAGGGACCCCCUUUUAAGAAGGGUUGAGCGUCUCUUUUCUCUUUGUCCUCGUAAACUGCCCUAGAAAUGAUUUCGACUUGGCUUUUUUGAAAUUUGCAGUCAAAUCCUAUUUGUGACCGCUUGAAUUGAAGCCGGGGUCCGAUGAAACAUGGUGUGGCGAAGGGGCGGCUGUAAGGGGAUGGUGGAGGCCGUGAUAAAUUCGA